AUUGAACGCUGGCGGCAGGCCUAACACAUGCAAGUCGAGCGGAUGAAGGGAGCUUGCUCCUGGAGUCAGCGGCGGACGGGUGAGUAAUGCCUAGGAAUCUGCCUGGUAGUGGGGGAUAACGUCCGGAAACGGGCGCUAAUACCGCAUACGUGCUGAGGGAGAAAGUGGGGGAGCUUCGGACCUCACGCUAUCAGAUGAGCCUAGGUCGGAUUAGCUAGUUGGUGGGGUAAAGGCCUACCAAGGCGACGAUCCGUGACUGGUCUGAGAGGCGGAUCGGCCACACUGGAACUGGGACACGGUCCAGACUCCUGCGGGAGGCAGCAGUGGGGAAUAUUGGACAAUCGGCGAAAGCCUGAUCCAGCCAUGCCGCGUGUGUGAAAAAGGUCUUCGGAUUGUAAAGCACUUUAAGUUGGGAGGAAGGGCAGUAAGUUAAUACCUUGCUGUUUUGACGUUACCAACAGAAUAAGCACCGGCUAACUUCGUG
rnacentral:rRNA from 1 species